rnacentral:ncRNA from 2 species
CGGUGAGGUAGAGGUUGCACCGAUUAUGAGUAAUCAGUCAGAAGCCGUUGGGGCUAGUGAUGACUGCUGAAAGGGAAAGGUGCCGAAGCAAUUUGAACCAACAUUCAGAUUUGCUGGGCCUGUACUAAAUAAGUACAGGACUGCCGCAGUCUUCAUCCGCGGAGCGCUAUCAGGAGA